GACGAACGCUGGCGGCGUGCUUAACACAUGCAAGUCGAACGGAAAGGCCCUGCUUUUGUGGGGUGCUCGAGUGGCGAACGGGUGAGUAACACGUGAGUAACCUGCCCUUGACUUUGGGAUAACUUCAGGAAACUGGGGCUAAUACCGGAUAGGAGCUCCUGCUGCAUGGUGGGGGUUGGAAAGUUUCGGCUGUUGGGGAUGGACUCGCGGCUUAUCAGCUUGUUGGUGGGGUAGUGGCUUACCAAGGCUUUGACGGGUAGCCGGCCUGAGAGGGUGACCGGCCACAUUGGGACUGAGAUGCGGCCCAGACUCCUACGGGAGGCAGCAGUGGGGACUAUUGCACAAUGGGCGGAAGCCUGAUGCAGCAACGCCGCGUGCGGGAUGACGGCCUUCGGGUUGUAAACCGCUUUCGCCUGUGACGAAGCGUGAGUGACGGUAAUGGGUAAAGAAGCACCGGCUACCUACGU
rnacentral:rRNA from 1 species